AGUGAACGCUGGCGGUAGGCCUAACACAUGCAAGUCGAACGGCAGCACAGUAAGAGCUUGCUCUUACGGGUGGCGAGUGGCGGACGGGUGAGGAAUACAUCGGAAUCUACUUUUUCGUGGGGGAUAACGUAGGGAAACUUACGCUAAUACCGCAUACGACCUACGGGUGAAAGCAGGGGAUCUUCGGACCUUGCGCGAUUGAAUGAGCCAAUGUCGGAUUAGCUAGUUGGCGGGGUAAAGGCCCACCAAGGCGACGAUCCGUAGCUGGUCUGAGAGGAUGAUAGGCAAAACUGAAACUGAGAAACGGUCAAGAAUCCUAGGGGAGGCAGCAGUGGGGAAUAUUGAACAAGGGGCGCAAGCCUGAUCAAGCCAAACCGGGGGGGUGAAGAAGGCCUUCGGGUUGUAAAGCCCUUUUGUUGGGAAAGAAAGCAGCAGGUUAAUACCCCGCUGUUCUGACGGUACCCAAAGAAUAAGCACCGGCUAACUUCGUG
rnacentral:rRNA from 1 species